rnacentral:rRNA from 1 species
GACGUAGGGGGCGAGCGUUGUCCGGAUUUAUUGGGCGUAAAGCGCGCGUAGGCGGCCCGUUAAGUCGGAUGUGAAAACCCGGGGCUCAACCCCGGGCCUGCAUUCGAUACUGGCGGGCUCGAGGCAGGCAGGGGAGAGUGGAAUUCCUGGUAUAGCGGUGAAAUGCGCAGAUAUCAGGAGGAACACCGGUGGCGAAGGCGGCUCUCUGGGCCUGUCCUGACGCUCAGGCGCGAAAGCUAGGGGAGCAAACAGG